GGUCGAACCUGUUCAACCUGAAGACACACCUGCUCUGUCCAUGUAAGGUGAAGCCGACACACAGGCCGACAGUCUGUUGUUCUUAACGCUGUCAGCGUCUUCAAGGGCGGAGGUGUGCGCUCACUACUCUCCUCUCAGGAAACUCUACGAAGAGACCCGACAGAGAGGCCGCUCUGACAGCUAAAGGAUCUGCUCCAUCUGCCCUCAGACCACUACGCCCUACCUGACCAAAGCAUCAUGGGACGGGGUGAGAGCGAGGAGUGGGAGGAGAAGCACCAGGACACGAGGCAAACGCAGCCCCAGAGGCACAAGGACACGGAGAGCAGGAGCUCGGGGAGCAGCUGUCCCAAGUGCUGCUUGCGGACGAGGGACUGCCUGAUGAGCGGAGAGUGCGGCAGGGCACUGCAGAUCUCCAGCGUCGUCGCCAUGUGUGGGAUGUGCAUCCGCAUGUGGAUGUAAGCUAACCUUGGACAUGGAUCAUCUUUUUCAGGCAGUUCUCAGCGUCCUCCAACACCUGUCAUGAGAGAGAUGCUGCAUGGUUUCCUUCCAAUCUCACAUUUACAAAAAUACACAUAAAAAAUAUAGCAUUUCACCUGCUAGGUUCUCUUUAAUUCUCUAUCCACAGCUUAUUUAUUUAACAUAAACAAAUGUCUGUAGAUUGUAUAUAUAACACAGUAGAAAGACAAUCAUUAUGAAUGACUGGGACUUUGCGCAGCAUGUCUUUGUAAAAUUUGAAAGCCUAUCUGAUUGAUCACUUCUGACUGAUCGAAACGCUACAGUAUUUACUCCAGAUGUUGUAUAUUUAGAGUUUUCAAUUAUGUAAAAUAGCUGUCAUAGUAGGAUUGUAAUAAGAACAAGUGGACAUCAUGAUGUGUAGAGGAAUGAAUGCUACAGUUCAACCCCAACAUCCUCUGCUAAAACAUGAGGAAGAUGGCCAUAUGGUCGGGGGGAAUGCUGUGAAACAUCUGAUGUAAUGAAACACUUGAAAUAAAGCUUUUCAGUAACAA